UUUCUCUUCGAGAAUCCCCCAUUUAACCCGAAAAUCAACCGUUUUCUCUUUGAGAAUCCCCCAUUUAACUUGAAAAUCACGCGUUUUCUCUUCGGAAAUCCCCCAUUUAAGCGAAAAUCACACGUUUUCUCUUCGGAAAUCCCCCAUUUAACUUGAAAAUCACGUGUUUUCUCUACACAAAUCCCCCAUUUAUGCGAAAAACACGCGUUUUCUUUUCGCAAAUCACACAUUUAUGCGAAAAUCACGUUUUCUCUUUGAGAAUCCUCCAUUUAACGCGUAAAUGACACGUUUUCUCUAUGCAAGUCCCCCAUUUAAGCGAAAAUCACGCGUUUUCAAUUUGCAAAUCCCCCAUUUAAGCGAAAAUCACGCGUUUUCUCUUCGCAAAUCCCCCAUUACACCAGAAAAUCAUGCGUUUUCUCUUCGGAAAUCCCCCAUUUAAGCGAAAAUCACGCGUUUUCUCUCCGAGAAUCCAACAUUUAAGCGAAAAUCACGCGUUUUCUCAAAUCCCACAUUUAAGCGAAAGUCACACGUUUUCUCUUCGCAAAUCCCCCAUUUAACCAGAAAACCAAGCAUUUUCUCUUCAAGAAUCCCCCAUUUAACCCGAAAAUCACACGUUUUCUCAAAUCCCCCAUUUAAGCGAAAAUCACGCGUUUUCUCUUCGAGAAUCCCCCAUUUAACACAAAAAAACACGAGUUUUCUCUUCAGAAAUCCCACAUUUAAGCAAAAAUCACACGUUUUCCCUUCGCAAAACCCCCAUUUAAGUGAAAAUCUCGCGUUUUCCCUUUGAGAAUCGUCAAUUUAAGUGAAAAUCAAGCGUUUUCUCUUUGAGAAUCCCCCACUUAAGUGAAGAUCACGAAUUUUCAAUUUGCAAAAAUCCCCCAUUUAAGCGAAAAUCACGCGUUUUCUCUUCGGAAAUCCCCCAUUUAACUUGAAAAUCACGCGUUUUCUCUUCGCAAAUCCCCCAUUUAAGCGAAAAUCACGCGUUUUCUCUUCGAGAAUCCAACAUUUAACGAAAAUCACGCGUUUUCUCAAAUCCCCCAUUUAAGCAAAA
ensembl:lncRNA